CGCGGCGCGGGGCAGCGCUGAAAGUUGGGCGGCCCGCGGGGAGCGGCGCGGGACGGGCCCGAGGCGCGGAGACCCGGAGACCAACGGACAGACCCACCGGCAGCCGGGGAGGGGGGGCGGCGCCGGCCCGCCGAGUUCGCGGGGAGGGGGCGCCGGGACUCCCCUCUCCCCGCCCGGGACGCCGCCCGCCCGAUCGCGCCGUGGGAUGUAGAGCCCGCUCGCCGCCUCCUGGACCUUCGUCGGACCCUCCGCCCCGCGGCCCUGCGUCUUCCCAGGU
rnacentral:lncRNA from 1 species